rnacentral:lncRNA from 1 species
UGGAAACGUGCCACCCACAGGUCUUGCUCUACUCCAGAAAACCAUCACUUUGAGCUCCUUCAACCCCACCUGCGUUGGGCACUGCCCAUUCUUUGUACCCUGCGAUGGCCCCCGUGUCACACGUGGCACUUGUGAAGACUUCUUGACAUAACCGUCUUUCUUCUGAGACCUUGAGCACCCCCUGGACUGCUGGGGUUUGAUUCCUCUUGCGAAUAAAUAAAGUAGGACUUUGUGAAGAUGUUGCUCAAGCCACGUCUGAUGCUCUACGUCAAUUGAUUGUCAUUGGCCUGUUGAGAGGCCGUCUUCAGGAUUUCAGGGUCCAUCUGAAAUAGUCCUCCCCAUUCUGCCUUUCAAAGUAUUACAUGCUGACCUUCAAAGUCACAUGAUUUCGAAAUGCGACCAAAUCAUGGCCCUCGGCCCUUGCGGUGCUCCACUCUGAGAAUGGAUUACUGGGCAAUGUGCAUCCUCUUGGUUCAUCACACAAUUGUCUUCUGGCAGACCCUGCAUGUAAUUCACGCCUUCUUGGGAAGGCCUAACCCCAAGGAGAGUGCUGCGGAAGGCACUGCUUUGUCCUGAACCAGAACCCGGCAAAUCCAAGCACCCUUCUCUCUUCCUCACCAACAAUCAAGUUAUUCUUACAAAUAAAGGUUCGGCCUGGGUAUCGUUAAAGAUAACCUUUGUGCAAGUGAAGUCCGUCUUUCUCUCAACAUCAUCAGUAUUUGGGGAGGAGUGAGUGACCCCUGGGAGCAGGGAUGCAGAGAUCU